rnacentral:rRNA from 1 species
GACGAACGCUGGCGGCGUGCUUAACACAUGCAAGUCGAACGGAAAGAGGGAAAGAGCUUGCUCUUUCCGGAAUUGAGUGGCAAACGGGUGAGUAACACGUAAACAACCUGCCUUCAGGAUGGGGACAACAGACGGAAACGACUGCUAAUACCGAAUAAGUUCCAAGAGCCGCAUGGCCCAUGGAAGAAAAGGUGGCCUCUACCUGUAAGCUAUCGCCUGAAGAGGGGUUUGCGUCUGAUUAGCUGGUUGGAGGGGUAACGGCCCACCAAGGCGACGAUCAGUAGCCGGUCUGAGAGGAUGAACGGCCACACUGGAACUGAGACACGGUCCAGACUCCUACGGGAGGCAGCAGUGGGGAAUCUUCCGCAAUGGGCGAAAGCCUGACGGAGCAACGCCGCGUGAGUGAUGACGGCCUUCGGGUUGUAAAACUCUGUGAUCCGGGACGAAAAGGCAGAGUGCGAAGAACAAACUGCAUUGACGGUACCGGAAAAGCAAGCCACGGCUAACUACGUG